rnacentral:pre_miRNA from 1 species
GUAAGUCCUAGAUCUAUCUUCCUCGCUUUUAGUUAUUGGAAGAAAGAGCUAUGAUUUACAG